GAUCAGUGAUGAAAAAUAGCCAAACAUGAGCAUCACAAGAUCUUCUUGUCUUGCCAUACUAUCUUCCAGUUUUCCCA